AAAAAUUUAUUAUGAAUUUAUUUUACAUAUAAAUUUUAGUGUAUAAUUUUAAUUAUUUUAAUAAUAAUUAAUUAUUUUUAUAGUAAUUAAAAUUAAAAAUUUAAGAAAUUAAGAUUUAGUAAUAUAAAAAUUAAUAACUAAUUUUGUGCCAGCAGUUGCGGUUAAACAAAAGUUAAAUUAAAUUAAUUCAGUAUAUAAUUAAUAUAUUAAUAAUUAUUAAAAUAAAUAUUAAAUUAUUAAGUGAAAUUUUAAUUUAAUUAAAUUUUAAAUUAAAAUUAUGAUUUAGUAAAUUUAAUUAUAAACUAGGAUUAGAUACCCUAUUAUUAAAAAUUUAAUUAAAAAUACUAAAAUAGUAAAUAAUUUUUUAUUGAAACUUAAAUAAUAUGGCGGUAUUUUAGUUCAUUUAGAGGAAUCUGUCUAAUAAUUGAUAAUCCACGAAUAAAUUUACUUAAUUUAAUAUUUUGUAUAUCAUUGUUAAAAAAAUAUUUUUUAAUAAUAAAUAAUAUUUUAAAAUUUAUAAUAAAAAUUAAUUCAGAUCAAGAUGCAGAUUAUAAUUAAGAUUAAGAUGGAUUACAAUAAAAUUAUUUAAAUGGAAAAAAAUUUGUAAUAAUUAAUUGAAAGUGGAUUUAAAUGUAAUUUUAAUUAAUUUAUUAAAAUGAUUAAAAAUUAAAAUAUGUACAUAUUGCCCGUCACUUUCAUUUAAAAAUUGAAAUAAGUCGUAACAAAGUAGAGGUACUGGAAAGUGUUUCUAGAAAGA
rnacentral:ncRNA from 1 species